ensembl:snRNA U6 U6 spliceosomal RNA
GUGCUUUGGCAGCAUAUAUAUUAAAAUUGGAACAAUGCAGAAAAGAUAAGCAUGGCCCCUGUAUAAGGAAGACAUGCAAAUUCAUGAAGCAUACCUAUUUUUU